rnacentral:rRNA from 1 species
ACGUUAACGAACGAGACCUCGGCCUGCUAAAUAGUUUGCUAUAGUCUUCGGACUAUAGAAAAACUUCUUAGAGGGACUAUCGGUUUCUAAGCCGAUGGAAGUUCGAGGCAAUAACAGGUCUGUGAUGCCCUUAGAUGUUCUGGGCCGCACGCGCGCUACACUGACGCAUUCAUCGAGUUUACAACCUUGACCGAGAGGUCUGGGUAAUCUUCUCAAAAUGCGUCGUGCUGGGGAUAGAUUAUUGUAAUUUUUAAUCUUUAACGAGGAAUUCCUAGUAAACGCAAGUCAUUAGCUUGCAUUGAUUACGUCCCUGCCCUUUGUACACACCGCCCGUCGCUAAUACCGAUUGAAUGGAUA